rnacentral:lncRNA from 1 species
CUUCAGCAAAGUCUCAGGAUACAAAAUCAAUGUACAAAAAUCACAAGCAUUCUUAUACACCAACAACAAACAGAGAGCCAAAUCAUGAGUGGACUCCCAUUCACAAUUGCUUCAAAGAGAAUAAAAUACCUAGGAAUCCAACUUACAAGGGAUGUGAAGGACCUCUUCAAGAAGAACUACAAACCACUGCUCAAGGAAAUAAAAGAGGAUACAAACAAAUGGAAGAACAUUCCAUGCUCAUGGGUAGGAAGAAUCAAUAUCAUGAAAAUGGCCAUACUGCCCAAGGUAAUUUACAGAUUCAAUGCCAUCCCCAUCAAGCUACCAAUGACUUUCUUCACAGAAUUGGAAAAAACUACUUUAAAGUUCAUAUAGAACCAAAAAAGAGCCUGCAUCACCAAGUCAAUCCUAAGCCAAAAGAACAAAGCUGGAAGCAUCACACUACCUGACUUCAAACUAUACUACAAGGCUACAGUAACCAAAACAGCAUGGUACUGGUACCAAAACAGAGAUAUAGAUCAAUGGAACAGAACAGAGCCCUCAGAAAUAACGCCGCAUAUCUACAACUAUCUGAUCUUUGACAAACCUGAGAAAAGCAAUGGGGAAAGGAUUCCCUAUUUAAUAAAUGGUGCUGGGAAAACUGGCUAGCCAUAUGUAGAAAGCUGAAACUGGAUCCCUUCCUUACACCUUAUACAAAAAUCAAUUCAAGAUGGAUUAAAGACUUAAAUGUUAGACCUAAAACCAUAAAAACUCUAGAAGAAAACCUAGGCAUUACCAUUUAGGACAUAGGCAUGGGCAAGGACUUCAUGUCUAAAACACCAAACGCAAUGGCAACCAAAGCCAAAAUCGACAAAUGGGAUCUAAUUAAACUAAAGAGCUUCUGCACAGCAAAAGAAACUACCAUCAGAGUGAACAGGCAACCUACAAAAUGGGAGAAAAUUUCUGCAACCUACUCAUCUGACAGAGGGCUAAUAUCCAGAAUCUACAAUGAACUCAAACAAAUUUACAAGAAAAAAACAAACAACCCCAUCAAAAAGUGGGCAA